rnacentral:rRNA from 1 species
CAGUCGCCGCGGGAAUACGAAGGGGGCUAGCGUUGUUCGGAUUUACUGGGCGUAAAGCGCACGUAGGCGGACUUUUAAGUCAGGGGUGAAAUCCCGGGGCUCAACCCCGGAACUGCCUUUGAUACUGGAAGUCUUGAGUAUGGUAGAGGUGAGUGGAAUUCCGAGUGUAGAGGUGAAAUUCGUAGAUAUUCGGAGGAACACCGGUGGCGAAGGCGGCUCACUGGACCAUUACUGACGCUGAGGUGCGAAAGCGUGGGGAGCAAACAGGAUUAGAUACCCCGGUAGUCCCUGUCUCUUAUAC